rnacentral:rRNA from 1 species
UGCAAGUCGAGCGCACCUUCGGGUGAGCGGCGGACGGGUUAGUAACGCGUGGGAACGUACCCUUUUCUACGGAAUAGCCUUUGGAAACGAAGAGUAAUACCGUAUACGCCCUUUGGGGGAAAGAUUUAUCGGAGAAGGAUCGGCCCGCGUUAGAUUAGAUAGUUGGUGGGGUAACGGCCUACCAAGUCUACGAUCUAUAGCUGGUUUUAGAGGAUGAUCAGCAACACUGGGACUGAGACACGGCCCAGACUCCUACGGGAGGCAGCAGUGGGGAAUCUUAGACAAUGGGCGCUAGCCUGAUCUAGCCAUGCCGCGUGAGUGAUGAAGGCCUUAGGGUCGUAAAGCUCUUUCGCCUGUGAUGAUAAUGACAGUAGCAGGUAAAGAAACCCCGGCUAACUCCGUGCCAGCAGCCGCGGUAAUACGGAGGGGGUUAGCGUUGUUCGGAAUUACUGGGCGUAAAGCGCACGUAGGCGGAUUGGAAAGUUGGGGGUGAAAUCCCGGGGCUCAACCCCGGAACUGCCUCCAAAACUAUCAGUCUAGAGUUCGAGAGAGGUGAGUGGAAUUCCAAGUGUAGAGGUGAAAUUCGUAGAUAUUUGGAGGAACACCAGUGGCGAAGGCGGCUCACUGGCUCGAUACUGACGCUGAGGUGCGAAAGUGUGGGGAGCAAACAGGAUUAGAUACCC